rnacentral:ribozyme from 1 species
UGCCCAGCAACUCCUAUCCCUACCUCCUCGUGGUACUGACCGGGGUACGAGUAACCUUGGGGAAGAUCGGGUAACCAACCCCCGGUGGGAACUUUGGUCGUAUGCUGACAGGGAAGG